rnacentral:rRNA from 1 species
GAUGAACGCUGGCGGCGUGCUUAACACAUGCAAGUCGAACGAUGAAGCCCAGCUUGCGGGGUGGAUUAGUGGCGAACGGGUGAGUAACACGUGAGUAACCUGCCCUUAACUCUGGGAUAAGCCUGGGAAACUGGGUCUAUUACCGGAUAGGAGCGUCCACCGCAUGGUGGGUGUUGGAGAGAUUUAUCGGUUUUGGAUGGACUCGCGGCUUAUCAGCUUGUUGGUGAGGUAAUGGCUCACCAAGGCGACGACGGGUAGCCGGCCUGAGAGGGUGACCGGCCACACUGGGACUGAGACACGGCCCAGACUCCUACGGGAGGCAGCAGUGGGGAAUAUUGCACAAUGGGCGCAAGCCUGAUGCAGCGACGCCGCGUGAGGGAUGACGGCCUUCGGGUUGUAAACCUCUUUCAGUAGGGAAGAAGCGAAAGUGACGGUACCUGCAGAAGAAGCACCGGCUAACUACGUG